rnacentral:rRNA from 1 species
AACGAACGCUGGCGGCAUGCCUAACACAUGCAAGUCGAACGAGACCUUCGGGUCUAGUGGCGCACGGGUGCGUAACGCGUGGGAACCUGCCCUUAGGUUCGGAAUAACUCCCCGAAAGGGGUGCUAAUACCGGAUAAUGUCUUCGGACCAAAGAUUUAUCGCCUUUGGAUGGGCCCGCGUUGGAUUAGCUAGUUGGUAGGGUAAAAGCCUACCAAGGCGACGAUCCAUAGCUGGUCUGAGAGGAUGAUCAGCCACACUGGGACUGAGACACGGCCCAGACAGCGGCGGGGGGCAGGGGGGGGAACUAGAGAGAGGGGGGCGAAGGUCGUCGCCAGCAGCGGCGCGGGGGGGAUAGACGUCGUAGGGUUGUAAAUCUUUUGUCCAAGGGAUGAUAAGGACAGGACGGGGAUAAUAAGCUCCGCAUAACCCCGGCCAAGGAGCGGUGAUAAUAAGCGAAAGACCACUCAAGAAC